UGUCUUGUGAAUGAUGAAACACUAUAUUUUUACAGACCUGUACUGAAAAUACUUCAUGCAGAAACAAAUAUUGCCUAUAAUAUCUGACCCUCUACUUGUA